rnacentral:rRNA from 1 species
CCCUUAGAUGUUCUGGGCUGCACGCGCGCUACACUGAAGCUAUCAACACGUUUUCCCUCCCUGAGAAGGGCGGGUAACCUUUUGAAUCAGCUUCGUGGUAGGGAUCGGGGCUUGCAAUUGUUCCCCGUGAACCAGGAAUUCCUAGUAGACGCGAGUCAUAAGCUCGCAUCGAUUAAGUCCCUGCCCUUUGUACACACCGCCCGUCGCUACUACCGAUUGAACGUUUUAGUGAGGCAUUUGGACCGACGCAUCUCAGUUUAACCGCUGGUUUGUGUUGGAAAGACUUCCAAACUUGAGCGUUGAGAGGAAGUAAAAGUCGUAACA